GACGAACGCUGGCGGCGUGCUUACCACAUGCAAGUCGAACGGUAAGGCCCUUCGGGGUACACGAGUGGCGAACGGGUGAGUAACACGUGGGUGAUCUGCCCUGCACUUCGGGAUAAGCCUGGGAAACUGGGUCUAAUACCGGAUAGUACCACUGCCUACAUGGGUGGUGGUGGAAAGAUUUUGCGGUGUGGGAUGGGCCCGCGGCCUAUCAGCUUGUUGGUGGGGUGAUGGCCUACCAAGGCGACGACGGGUAGCCGGCCUGAGAGGGUGACCGGCCACACUGGGACUGAGAUACGGCCCAGACUCCUACGGGAGGCAGCAGUGGGGAAUAUUGCACAAUGGGCGCAAGCCUGAUGCAGCGACGCCGCGUGAGGGAUGACGGCCUUCGGGUUGUAAACCUCUUUCAGCACCGACGAAGCGCAAGUGACGGUAGGUGCAGAAGAAGGACCGGCCAACUACGUGCCAGCCGCCGCAGUAA
rnacentral:rRNA from 1 species